CCACAAUUUCACCAUCUGAGAUUGGAAUUUCUAACUUUAUCAUGCUCAAAACUCUGAUCUACAGAGUGUGGCAGAGUGCCAGUAAAAUCGAGAGAACUCAGUAGUAUCUUAAUGGAAAUUGGCAAUUGCCUGUAUUCCGACAAGGUUCAAUCCAGGGGAAAGCAAGUGUCUGCCAGGAGUUUCAAGCCUGGAGUUUUCAACCUGGAGUUUUUGCUAACUAACUUUUUAAAUAACAAGUAGACUCCCCAACAUGCUGUUUGGCAUUAUUAUACAAAUACUGUAACUCUGUUAGCUUAUGGUAAUACCGUAUUGCCUUAUACUUCCUGUUUACUUCUGACCUGAAUGUAGUUCUAUAGCCUAACAUGGUUCCUCACAAUAAAAGCUGGUAGUGUUGCCAUUGCUAUAACUGAAACACAACUCCUACAGAACAUUGGAUUGGGUAUCUAUUGAAAAUGAAUAGAUGGGUUACCAACACAUACAUUAUAUUUUUCUGGUGUUCCAUAAGUCUUAAAUGUAGCAGUUUAGAAAAGAAUGAGUAUUAUGUAUCUGAUAAACUAAGUUGAAUAUAUUUAGACUAGGUAUAGUACUAUGUUCUAAAAAAAAAAAACAUCAUGAAAUUGGGCAUAUACUCUGAAUACCUUUUCCUUUUUGUUGGAAUUAAUUUUAACUGUUUUCAUGGAACAAUGCUUUGAUUACCUACAAUGCCUUAUUGAAUAAAUAUAAGGACCCAAAGGUUAAAUGGUGUGAAAUGGGCAGUAGUGAAAAUGUUUAGCAGUGUCACAAGUCCAUAAUAUCCCUGUGUCAGUAGGAACCAGUGAAUGGAUAACUUCUCAUUUAAAAAUUAAAAGUGAUCAUGGGACACAGCAUGUUAUAUAUCCAGUAUGUCCUGAUAGGAUUAAGAGUCAGAUCAUAUGUUAUAUCUCAUAAUGGUCUUUGGGUAAGUUCUCGUCCUAUUAUUUGAAGGGGAUUAAAACACUUUGGUAUUGAUCACACCCUGAAAAGUGCAUUGGAACAUUACAAUCUGAAUUUGUGCUUUAAAGCGUCUUCCAACUUCUGGGGUCUUUGCAUAUGCUACAAAGGCGCCAACAAUGACAUCACUGCAUGGUGUGUCACAGCCCAGGGGUGCAGCGAAGGUUUGUUCUAUUUACCCUACAAUGUCCCCCGUAACUGCUUCCACCUUUUUCAGUUCCUGGCAUUUGAUCUGCCAAG